rnacentral:lncRNA from 10 species
GGGGCUAUCAGUCCAACUCCUCAGUUAAUAGCCAGGGAAACAGAAGCCCAGGGAGAUAAAGACGGUGGCAGAGGAGGAAUUCUUUCUUAGCAGAUCUUCCAUUCCUAAUCCAGGAUCAUUUCCAGGGCUCCCAGGUUCUCAAGAUGCUUGAAUCCUGGGACAAACACAGAGGAAGGAGCUCCUAAGGAUGGGGGCAGUGGUGAGGAAACAGGCCACUGAGACAGUGAUGGUGUUUGUAGGCAAAGAAGCUACUUGUAUUUGCCAACCACACCAGGAGGCCAGACUCGCCGCAGGGCACAGCACCCUCCAGAAAAACAGGUCACUGAAAAUAAUAUCAGGGGAGGAAGUCAAGAAGGCUGCUGUAUUCAUUCUGCUUUAAUGAGUAGAGCUCUCCUCUCUCUUUCUCUCGGCUCCCUUGCUUUGGAGGGAGCCAGCUACACAGAAAUUCAGGCAGUCUAUGAAGAGGCUCACCUUGUGCCAGUGACCACUUGAGUGAGCCAUCUUAGAAGUGGCUCUUCCAGCCCCAGACAAACUUUCAGAAACUAAAGCCCUGCUUCACAUCCUGACUAGAACCUUAUGAGAAACUCUGAGCCCAACCCACCCAGUUAAACCACUCCUGAAUCCCUGCCCCACAAAAACUGUGAGAU